CCUACGGGGGGCUGCAGUGGGGAAUAUUGGACAAUGGGGGCAACCCUGAUCCAGCCAUGCCGCGUGUGUGAAGAAGGCCCUCGGGUUGUAAAGCACUUUCAGUGAGGAAGAACGCCUGGUGGUUAAUACCCAUCAGGAAAGACAUCACUCACAGAAGAAGCACCGGCUAACUCCGUGCCAGCAGCCGCGGUAAUACGGAGGGUGCGAGCGUUAAUCGGAAUUACUGGGCGUAAAGCGCGCGUAGGUGGCUUGAUAAGCCGGUUGUGAAAGCCCCGGGCUCAACCUGGGAACGGCAUCCGGAACUGUCAAGCUAGAGUGCAGGAGAGGUAGGUAGAAUUCCCGGUGUAGCGGUGAAAUGCGUAGAGAUCGGGAGGAAUACCAGUGGCGAAGGCGGCCUUCUGGACUGACACUGACACUGAGGUGCGAAAGCGUGGGUAGCAAACAGGAUUAGAUACCCGGGUAGUC
rnacentral:rRNA from 1 species